rnacentral:rRNA from 1 species
UACGUAGGGGGCAAGCGUUGUCCGGAAUCAUUGGGCGUAAAGAGCGUGUAGGCGGCUCGAUAAGUCUGCUGUGAAAGUCCAGGGCUCAACCCUGGAAGGCCGGUGGAUACUGGCAGUCUUGAAGUGGCUAGGGGGAGAUGGAAUUACCGGUGUAGCGGUGAAAUGCGUAGAGAUCGGUAGGAACACCAGUGGCGAAGGCGGUCUCCUGGAGCUAACUUGACGCUGAGACGCGAAAGCUGGGGGAGCGAACGGG